rnacentral:lncRNA from 1 species
UCCAAUGUUAUUAGCUUGGCCUGCAAAUGAUCAACCAUUGUUUGUUUAACAACAUAUAUAUGAACUAAGCUUCUUAUACUACAUGCAAGUCUUCUCGCUUUGUCUAUUACUAAUACAUACAAGUAAUAUUUUCUCAGAUAUGACAACAACAAACAACAACAAAAAAAACAACAACAAAGCCUUUAGUCCCAAACAAGUUGGGGUAGGCUAGAGGUGAAACCCAUAAGAUCUCGCAACCAACUCAUGGCUCUGGCACAUGGAUAGCAAGCUUCCACGCACCCCUGUCCAUAGCUAGCUCUUUGUCGAUACUCCAAUCUUUCAGGUCUCUCUUAGCGGACUCCUCCCAUGUCAAAUUCGGUAGACCCCGCCCUCUCUUGACAUUCUCCGCACGCUUUAGCCGUCCGCUAUGCACUGGAGCUUCUGGAGGCCUUCGCUGAAUAUGCCCAAACCAUCUCAGACGAUGUUGGACAAGCUUCUCCUCAAUUGGUGCUACCCCAACUCUAUCUCGUAUAUCAUCAUUCCGGACUCGAUCCUUCCUCGUGUGGCCACACAUCCAUCUCAACAUACGCAUCUCCGCUACACCUAAUUGUUGAACAUGUCGCCUUUUAGUCGGCCAACACUCCGCGCCAUACAACAUUGCGGGUCGAACCGCCGUCCUGUAGAACUUGCCUUUUAGCUUUUGUGGCACUCUCUUGUCACAUAGAAUGCCAGAAGCUUGGCGCCACUUCAUCCAUCCGGCUUUGAUUCGAUGGUUCACAUCUUCAUCAAUACCCCCAUCCUCCUGCAACAUUGACCCCAAAUACCGAAAGGUGUCCUUCCGAGGUACCACCUGGCCAUCAAGGCUAACCUCCUCCUCCUCACACCUAGUAGUACUGAAACCGCACAUCAUGUACUCAGUUUUAGUUCUACUAAGCCUAAACCCUUUCAAUUCCAAGGUUUGUCUCCAUAACUCUAACUUCCCAUUUACCCCCGUCCGACUAUCGUCAACUAGCACCACAUCAUCCGCAAAGAGCAUACACCAUGGGAUAUCUCCUUGUAUAUCCCUUGUGACCUCAUCCAUCACCAAUGCAAAAAGAUAAGGGCUCAAAGCUGACCCCUGAUGCAGUCCUAUCUUAAUCGGGAAGUCAUCGGUGUCGACAUCACUUGUUCGAACACUUGUCACAACAUUAUCGUACAUGUCCUUGAUGAGGGUAAUGUAUUUUGCUGGAACUUUGUGUUUCUCCAAGGCCCACCACAUGACAUUCCGCGGUAUCUUAUCAUAGGCCUUCUCCAAGUCAAUGAACACCAUAUGCAAGUCCUUCUUUUGCUUCCUAUAUCUCUCCAUAAGUUGUCGUACCAAGAAAAUGGCUUCCAUGGUCGACCUUCCAGGCAUGAAACCAAACUGAUUUUUGGUCACGCUUGUCAUUCUUCUUAAGUGGUGCUCAAUGACUCUCUCCCAUAGCUUCAUUGUAUGGCUCAUCAGCUUAACUCCAUGGUAAUUAGUACAACUCUGAACAUCCCCCUUGUUCUUGAAGAUUGGUACUAAUAUACUCCGUCUCCAUUCUUCUGGCAUCUUGUUUGCCCAAAAAAUGAGGUUGAAAAGCUUGGUUAGCCAUACUAUCGCUAUGUCCCCGAGACCUUUCCACACCUCAAUGGGGAUAUAAUCAGGGCCCAUCGCCUUGCCUCCUUUCAUCCUUUUUAAAGCCUCCUUCACCUCAGACUCCUGGAUGCGCCGCACAAAACACAUGCUAGUCUCAUCAAAGGAGUCGUCCAGUUCAAUGGUAGAACUCUCAUUCUCCCCAUUGAACAGCUUGUCGAAGUACUCCAUCUAUGCUUAAUCUCCUCGUCCUUCACCAAGAGUUGGCCUGCUCCGUCCUUGAUGCAUUUGACUUGGCCAAUAUCCCUCGUCUUCCUCUCCCGGAUCUUAGCCAUCUUAUAGAUGUCCCUUUCACCUUCCUUCGUGCCUAACCGUUGGUAGAGGUCCUCAUAUGCCCGACCCCUUGCUUCACCAACAGCUCGCUUUGCGGCCUUCUUCGCCAUCUUGUACUUCUCUAUGUUGUCUGCACUCCUAUCCAGGUAUAGGCGUCUGAAGCAAUCUUUCUUCUCUUUAAUCGCCUUCUGGACAUCAUCAUUCCACCACCAGGUAUCCUUAUCUUCGCUUCAACUUCCCCUGGACACUCCAAACUCCUCCAAGGCCACCUUACGAAUGCAAGUCGCCAUCUUCAUCCACACAUUGUCCGCAUCCCCUCCUUCCUCCCAAGGGCCCUCCUUAAUUACCCUCUCCUUGAACACCUGGUCUACCUCCCCCUUGAGCUUCCACCACUUCGUUCUAGCGACUUUGGCACGCUUAUCCCGCUGGACACGAAUCCAAAAGCGGAAGUCAGCAACCACCAGCUUAUGCUGGGGUACAACACUCCCUCCAGGUAUCACCUUACAGUCUAGGCACGCACGCCUAUCUUCUCUUCUUGAGAGGAUGAAAUCAAUCUGACUAGAGUGUUGGCCACUAGUAAAAGUCACCAGAUGUGAUUCUCUCUUUCUAAAGAGGGUGUUAGCUACAAUCAUGUUGUAGGCUAGAGCAAAGCUUAAGACAUCUUCUCCUUCUUGAUUCCUGAUGCCAUAGCCAAAGCCCCCAUGCGCCCCUUCAAAACCUGUGUUAGAUGUACCCACGUGGCCAUUGAGGUCUCCUCCUAUGAAGAGCUUCUCACCAAUCGGUACACUCCUAACCAUGUCUUCCAAGCCUUCCCAGAACUCCCUCUUGGUGUUCUCAUUGUGGCCUACUUGCGGGGCAUACGCGCUGAUAACAUUGAGAACCAAGUCCUCAACUACCAGCUUGACCAGGAUAAUCCGGUCCCCACGUCUCUUGACGUCUACCACUCCAUACUUGAGGCUCUUGUUGAUCAAGAUGCCUACGCCAUUUCUGUUUGCAGCCGUCCCCGUGUACCACAGCUUGAAGCCGGUAUCCUCCACCUCCUUCGCCUUCUGUCCUCUCCAUUUGGUUUCUUGGACGCAAAGGAUAUCAACACCUCUCCUCACCGCUGCAUCAACUAGCUCCCGAAGCUUCCCUGUCAGAGACCCUACGUUCCAGCUACCUAAGCGAAUCCUCCUAGGCUCGGCUAGCUUCCUUACCCUUCGCACUCGUCGAGUCAAAUGCGAAGACCCUUGCUCAUUUUCCACUACAUCCGGGCACCGAUGUAGUGUGCCACUAAGGAUGCGACGACCCGAUCCUCGCUCACUUGCCACCGUAUCCGGAUCAAGAUACGGCGCGCCACUUGAGGGGUGACGGCCCGGCCCUUGCCCAUUUUCCACCACACCCGGGUUCCGAUGUGGCGCGUCGCUGAGAGGGUUACGCCCCAACGAAAAUCUUCAGAUAUGACAACAACAAAUCAAAAUAAUAUACUUUUUAGUCCAAAUUGGGAAAAUACACCUGUGAAGAGUCAGUUUCUAUGAAGGAACAAAAAAUAUAGUCCGGCAACUUGCUUCUACCAGCGGACACACUUCUCAUCUUACUAAGUAUUUCUCUCCCAAUCUCCUUUUUUUGCGGGGGCUCCCAACCUACUUCUACACAUCUACCUCUGCCAACCAAUACCUGACCAUAGCUGGAAGGAAAACCUCUAUAUUGUGCCGCAGAUCCAGCACGUGUACAUCAACCUCCCCUUCGGGCUUCGGCAACCAAAUUUUGGGCUGAACGCUGCCCUCCCAUUGAUGGCCCUCCUCCAUCGAGCUGAGACCCAGCCACACAAGUUUGCCUCUGCUGCGUGCCCCAUUCUAGGUUGCCACGAUUAGGGCUCGCGUUUAGUACCUGAGGACGAGAAAUUAUAAAAAUAGUAGCGAGAAGUGACAUCAGAGAAGGUCAGGAAUUAGAUUCCUGGAGUACAUUAACUAGAUCUUACUUCACUGGCUGCUAAUCAGAACCGGUGGCGCAUGUGGG